AGUGAACGCUGGCGGUAGGCCUAACACAUGCAAGUCGAACGGCAGCACAGUAAGAGCUUGCUCUUACGGGUGGCGAGUGGCGGACGGGUGAGGAAUACAUCGGAAUCUACUUUUUCGUGGGGGAUAACGUAGGGAAACUUACGCUAAUACCGCAUACGACCUACGGGUGAAAGCAGGGGAUCUUCGGACCUUGCGCGAUUGAAUGAGCCGGUGUCGGAUUAGCUAGGUGGCGGGGUAAAGGCCCACCAAGGCGACGAUCCGUAGCUGGUCUGAGAGGAUGAUCAGCCACACUGGAACUGAGACACGGUCCAGACUCCUACGGGAGGCAGCAGUGGGGAAUAUUGGACAAUGGGCGCAAGCCUGAUCCAGCCAUGCUGCGUGGGUGAAGAAGGCCUUCGGGUUGUAAAGCCCUUUUGUUGGGAAAGAAAAGCAGCAGGUUAAUACCCCGCUGUUCUGACGGUACCCAAAGAAUAAGCACCGGCUAACUUCGUG
rnacentral:rRNA from 1 species